rnacentral:lncRNA from 1 species
GAAAAUUCCAAAGAAUGCUCUCAUUGCAUGAUUUCAUCUAGACUCAAAACAAUGGUUGCUCCAGAUCAGGAAAACAAUGCUUAGCUGGCAGCCACCUGACUUAUGUGACAAUGGGUCACUAUUACAGGGUGUUUUAUGAAACGGCUGAGUGAAAUGGCUCGACUAAAGACUCUUACUGCCAAGCCUGAUAAUCCGAGUUCAAGUCAUGGCACCUGCAAGGUAGAAGGGGAGAAUCAAACUAUCCUCCAACUUCCAUGUGUGCCCUCACAAUAGAGUUGGAUGAAGCUUCCUGGUGACCACAGUUUCUCAGUGCUUGCAGCAUGCAGAGUAUACCUUAAAGAUGCCAUCAUCCCAAGAUACAGGAAGUAACUUUAAGAACACAACACCCACAUUCCCAAGAGAUGGGGUGGGUGGUUUUUGGUCUUUCAUUGGGUUAUAGACAUUUGUCUUUGUAUAGGGGAAUUGAUUACAAGUUGUUAUUGGUAAUGGUCAAGAAAAGGGAAUACAGAUCUGAUAGGAUA